AUUGAACGCUGGCGGCAGGCUUAACACAUGCAAGUCGAGCGAGCGGCGGACGGGUGAGUAAUGACUGGGAAACUGCCUGAUGGAGGGGGAUAACUACUGGAAACGGUGGCUAAUACCGCAUACUAUCGGAUGAACCCACAUGGGAUUAGCUAGUAGGGGGGGUAAAGGCUCACCUAGGCGACGAUCUCUAGCUGGUCUGAGAGGAUGACCAGCCCCACUGGGACUUGGACACGGCCCAGACUCCUACGGGAGGCAGCAGUGGGGAAUAUUGCGCAAUGGGGGCAACCCUUACGCAGCCAUGCCGCGUGAAUGAAGAAGGCCUUCGGGUUUUAAAGUUCUUUCGGUAGCGAGGCGUUACCUACAGAAGAAGCACCGGCUAACUCCGUGCCAGCCGCCGCGGUAAUAC
rnacentral:rRNA from 1 species